UUUAGGGUCAUUGUCCAGUUGAAAAACAAAUAAUAGUCCCAGUAAGCUCAAACCAGAUGGGAUGGCGUAUCACUGCAAAAUGCUGUGGUAGACAUGCUGGUUAAGUGUGCCUUGACUUCUAAAUUAAUCACAGACAGUGUCACCAGCAAAGCACCCCCACACCAUCACACCACCUCCUCCAUGCUUCAUGGUGGGAACCACACAUGCAGAGAUCAUCCGUUCACCUACUCUGCGUCUCACAAAGACACGGUGGUUGGAACCCAAAAUCUCAAAUUCGGACUCAUCAGACCAAAGGACAGAUUUCCACCAGUCUAAUGUCCAUUGCUCAUGUUUCUUGGCCCAAGCAAGUAUGUUCUUCUUGUUGGUGUCCUUUUUUGGUUACUAUAUGAUUUACAUAAGUGUUAUUUCAUCAUUCUGAUGUCUUCACUCUUAUUCUAAAAUGUAGAAAAUAGUAAAAAAUGAAGAAAAACCCUUGAAGCAGUAUGUGUGUCCAAACGUUUGACUGGUGCUGUAUAUAUUUUGCUUCAGAUUUUUUCUCAAGUACAGUGAAGAUCACAUGUCCAUGCGUGUCAUCUCCCCAACAACGACAACUGCAAAACAUGCCCCAAUGGGAUCAUCUGUAUUGCCACUAAUUUGCCACUAAUUGUUAACCUGCUCUCCCAGUAACGUCAUUGCAGCAUUGUUUUCUGACCCAUUGAUCCCCAGAGGGUGGCCCAGGGACAGUAAGGUAAGGUACAUCCCUCUUGGUACAUUAACCCACCAUAUUAGCUCUCUCCUUCUGUGCCAAUGGCCUAAUAAGCUCUCUUUGAGAGAGAGGGAGGGAGGGAGAGAAAUGGCAACACACACACAACACAUUAACCAUGUGACUCCUUACACAACCAAUCCCAGGCUUUAUAUAUCACCUGUAGGGAUGAGUCUCUCAGGAGAGAUCAAAACAGCCCUUGACAGUGCAGGUGUGUUGGUGUUUUUGAGCAGGCGUGUGUGUUCUUCGGACACAGGAGAGAGCUUCCACCGCCGCACUCAGCCCAGUGGAGGACACCAAGGCCAGAGUGAGAGAAGGAGAGAGAAGGGACAUAGAGCCAGGUUGCUAAAAAAGAAACUCCUCAGGGUUGUUGGAGAGUUGAUCUGGUUUCUACUGGGAAAAGGUUCUAGAGACCACUAAGAUGUUUUUCCGCAUCCCUCGACUGACCCCUGGAUACAUCAGAUACUUGCAGACUCAAGCUGCCCAGACCGUGCUGCAGAGCCGGGAAGGCCCCAUGAUGUCGAGGGUGGCCAUGCUGCUAGGGCUGAUGGGAGUUGGGAUGUCUGGGUACAGCUCACGACAGCUCACCCUGCACUGCAAGCCCUCCGCUAACCUGCUGAGAUGAGGCAAGACACAACACCUCUGACCUUCCACCCUGAAGACGACAACAUGGAUAAGAUUGAUCACUGGAGCAUAUCCAAUACCCCUGGAUUCCACUUACACUACAAGAAUAAUUAGUCUCUGUUUCCUAAAACGGUUUUGUUUUAGUUGAGUUUUUGUUUGUUACCCUUGCACCUUUGAUUUCCCCCAUUGUGGUUGAAGUUUGGGACGAACCAAGUUCAGAUUCUUAUUCUGAAAAGUUUAACAUUGAAGAUCGAUACUUUAAGGUUCCACACGCGCAGUUAUGACCAUAUAAGAUUAUCCCUCCAUUUAAAAAAAUCAAUAUUCUUUUAAACUACCUCUCCCUUUCAAACCAGUUAAAGUGUUAUUCACCCAACAUACAUCAAUCCAUUCUUAUUGAGCUCUGUUCUUGAGCUGGUAACAUCCUCAACUUUAACCACCCAUUUUCUUUUUGUAAUUCUGUGCCUUAAAGGGAGCGAUCCAUUAAAAUCAGUUUAAGACACCAAAUGGUGUUACCUCACGCUAACCCAAGAAGACCAAAACCCAAGAAAUAAAGACAUCGCAAUGGAGAAAUAUUAAAUAUGUCAAAUAUUUUUCAAAACCUGACGAAAUUCCCCAGUCCGCCUGUUUAUUGCCAUUCUCUUGUCUGUGUUUGGCAAGGCAUGUACACAGAGAUUAGCACCUCUGUUUUAGGCUUAUCCAGUGUUUUCCUGAAUAAUGUCACGAGUGGCAGGAAAGGAGAGCGAAAUCAAAAUGGUAGCAUCUUGGAACUCAGAGAAUCCAGUUGGUCAUAGGGAUUAUAAAAAUGUUUUUUUGUCUGUUAUCAUCAAUGCUCUUGAUUCUGGAGACAAGAUUCCUUCAUUUGGUACUUGCUUUACUUUCUUUGUCUGCUAUGUUUGCAUGCAAAGAAAUACAGGAAAAAUCCUUUGACCAAGAUUCAAAAUGUACUCAACCAACAUGCUUCCAAUUGUAUUUUCUAAUGUCUUUUUUUAUUUGGUCACGCCCAACUUUUUUCCAUUGAACCUUUUUGAUUUUGCACAGUGAAAAGAUUGAUAUUUUUACAUACAUUCUUUUCACCAAAACACUCUGACACUUUGCACUUUUUUAAUAAUGUAUGUGUGUGUACAUAAUAUGUACAUAAUGUACAUAUCUGAAUUAUUGAAGCUUGAAGAGAUUAGUAGAUGGUUAAGUGACAUGGAAAGUGACGCCAGAUUGGUUUGAGAACUAGUCUGGGUGGAAUCCAGCUGGAUUCACACACGGCACCACAGUUUGGUAUCAGGCAUCCAGGACAGCCACCCUGGAUGGACCUCACUGGACGAAUGCCACCGUAUGUGUGAAUUCACCGAGAUUCCUCCAAGUUGUCCUCCAUGUUUGUCAGAAUUGGGAUGUUUAGAUUAAUGGCCAUAUGGUCUCUUAACAUAGCUAGCAUGAAAUACUAUUUAUAUUUCCUUUAGAUUCAGAACAUGCAGUACACACUUUGUAAUAAGGGAAAUAACUUUAACACGACAGCAUAGGAAUGUAUCACCGACACAAUGAAUGUUUCUUAGUGGUAUACUGUAAUUGUAAACAUGAACGUACUGUAGGUUACUGUGUCAUAACCAUGGGAUCCCACUAGUCUGGUUUAGAGGAAACAGUGGAUGUAACCAGACCUUAGAUUUACACUGGAUUCUCCAAUAGAACAGAUUACCAUGCCAUUGGUAGUUGUCCAGUGAUCCAGUGGUCUUCCGGUGAUCCAGUAGUCUUCUGGUGAUCCAGUAGUCUUCCGGUGAUCCAGUACUCUUUCGGUGAUCCAGUGGUCUUCCGGUGAUACAGUGGUCUUCCAGUGAUCCAGUGGUCUUCCGGUGAUCCAGUGGUCUUCCAGUGAUCCAAUUAGGAGAAGUGUCUCUUUUAUGUCCAGCUUCACCAGUAUAAAGGGUUAGUGACCCUAAAUAGUGACCCUAAAUAGUGACCCUAAAUAGAGACCCUGCUAUAGAGACCCAGACCAGUGAGAGGAACAUAGUAGGAGUUCUGAAACCCCUAGUUUAUCUUAGUCAAUGUAAUGUUACAUGAACUUGGUGAAGAACUGACAAGAAUUCAAUUCGGAACAUGAUUGAUAUUGAAAGCUGCAAUGGGGGAGUGAUGUUAUCUCUAUACACAGUGUAAAGGGUCAUUGCUGUUUAAUAGUUAUAGUACACUACAGUGCUGUUUGUUUUACACGGGUACAUUUCAUACCAAAAGGCUUACAAUAGGCCUAUCUUUGUAUUGUUGCUAAAUGUAACAAUGUUGUUUAGGAAUGCCAUAGUGAAUUGAAGAAUUAUGACUGCUUCACAAAGCACCCUUGAAUAUCUAUUCAUGUUUAUUGUUAUGAUACAGCAUGUAUCAAUACUAUGAAUAAAAACC
ensembl:lncRNA